rnacentral:tmRNA from 1 species
GGGGCUGUUUGGUUUUGACAGCAAGGUAAAUGGGUAUUGUAAGCAUGCCGAGCCACGUGAUAUGUCUCGUAAAUCCGGGUCACAAAACAAUAAAUGGCGAAAAUAAUUACGCUCUUGCUGCUUAAUCGAAUUAUAGUAGAUUAGCUUAAUCCGCGCACAAGGUGCAUGGACAAGACGUUCCUCGUAAACCAAGUCCUGCGGUUUGCGGUUCAGGGGCGCUCGUGAGACAGGAAUAGUUGUAGCUUUUUCUCAGAGCCGCGGCGAAACUUUAGAGGAUAAGAUGGCAGUAGGUUGCCGCCUGCCGGCUGUCAUUCGAAAAUCAAUAAGCGGAUAAGCAUGUAGAAAGCAUAUUUGUUUCUUGUUUGGACACGGGUUCGACUCCCGUCAGCUCCACGA